GCCCAGCCGUAAACAAUUAACUUACACCAACCAGCGCCAGGGGAUACGAGCCAUGCUUAAAACCCAAAGGACUUGACGGUGUCCCAUUCCCCCUAGAGGAGCCUGUUCUAUAAUCGAUGAUCCCCGCUAUACCCGACCAUUCCUAGCUCCAGUCUGUAUACCUCCGUCGAAAGUCUACCCUAUGAACGCAAAGUAGGUCUAAUGGGACCCGCCCCAAUACGUCAGGUCAAGGUGCAACUCACGGGAUGGAAAGUAAUGGGCUACAAUUUCUAAUAUAGAAUAAACGAAAGACUAUGUGAAACCAUGGUCACGAAGGUGGAUUUAAUAGUAAAAAGAAAAUAGAGUGUUCUUUUUAACCCGGCUCUGGGACGCGUACACACCGCCCGUCACCCUCUUCAAUAGCUUUACUUCACGUUAAUAACUUCUUACCCGCGCCUUAGAAGAGGCAAGUCGUAACAUGGUAAGUGUACUGGAAAGUGCACUUGGACUACAACAAAAUAUAGCUUAAUAAAAGCCUUUCGCUUACACCGAGAAAAUGUCUGUUUAACCCAAACUAUUUUGAGCCUAAAAUCUAGCCCAUCUAACCCUCAUGAACCCAAUAACCAACCGCCCUCCAAACAAAACAUUUUAACAUUCUAGUACAGGUGAUCGAAAAAUUUAUAAGCGCUUCAGAUAUAGUACCGCAAGGGAAUUAUGAAAUAGAAAUGAAAUAACCUUAAAGCCCUUAAAUAGCAGAGUUUUCCCCUCG
rnacentral:rRNA from 1 species